rnacentral:rRNA from 1 species
GGUGCAGGUGCAUGGCCGUUCUUACUUGGUGGAGUGAUUUGUCUGGUUAAUUCCGUUAACGAACGAGACCUUAACCUGCUAAAUAGUCACGCGAACCGGUCCGCAAGGGCUCAAAGUUCGCGGCUCGACUUCUUAGAGGGACUAUUCGCACCCGCCAGCGAAUGGAAGUUUGAGGCAAUAACAGGUCUGUGAUGCCCUUAGAUGUUCUCGGCCGCACGCGCGUUACACUGACGGAGUCAACGAGCGUUUUUCCUUGCCCGACAGGGCUGGGUAACCUCCUGAAACUCCGUCGUGAUGGGGAUAGAUCAUUGCAAUUAUUGAUCUUGAACGAGGAAUUCCUAGUAGGCGCGAGUCAUCAACUCGCGCCGAUUACGUCCCUGCCCUUUGUACACACCGCCCGUCGCUCCUACCGAUUGAACGGUCCGGCGAGAACUCCGGAUGGU